rnacentral:rRNA from 1 species
GAUGAACGCUAGCGGCAGGCCUAACACAUGCAAGUCGAGGGAGAAGCCCUUCGGGGCAGAAACCGGCGCACGGGUGCGUAACGCGUAUGCAACCUACCUUUCACAGGGGGAUAGCCCGAAGAAAUUUGGAUUAAUACCCCAUAAUAUUAUUGGAUGGCAUCAUUUGAUAAUUAAAAUUACGAUGGUGAAAGAUGGGCAUGCGUCCUAUUAGCUAGUUGGAGUGGUAACGGCACCCCAAGGCUACGAUAGGUAGGGGUCCUGAGAGGGAGAUCCCCCACACUGGUACUGAGACAGGGACCAGACUCCUACGGGAGGCGGCAGUGAGGAAUAUUGGUCAAUGGUCGGAAGACUGAACCAGCCAUGCCGCGUGCAGGAAGAAUGCCUUAUGGGUUGUAAACUGCUUUUAUAUGGGAAGAAUAAGGCGUACGUGUACGUGAUGAACGGACCAU